GGUCAAGCUACUAAGGGCGCGUGGUGGAUGCCUUGGUAGAGACAGCCGACGAAGGACGUGGCCAGCGGCGAAACGCCCCGGGGAGCUGCAAGCAAGCUUUGAUCCGGGGGUAUCCGAAUCGGGAAACCGGGCAGGAGUAAUGUCCUGUCACCGUCGGGCCAAUACAUAACCCGGCGGAGGGAACCGGGGGAACUGAAACAUCUCAGUACCCCGAGGAAGAGAAAGCAACCGCGAUUCCCUGAGUAGUGGCGAACGAAAAGGGAACAGCCCAAACCUGUGUCGUGUUCAAGGCCCCAGCCGUUGCGGCACAGGUGUCGUGGGGCCGGACCGGGCGGAGCUGGGGCUCUGCCGGGGAGUAAGAAAUCGUACUGCUAGUCGAAUUGGCCUGGAACGGCCAGCCAAAGACGGUGAGAGCCCAGUAGGCGAAAGCAGUGCGACUCCCUGGGUCCGGUUCCCAAGUACCACGGGGCACGUGGAAUCCUGUGGGAAUUCGGGAGGACCAUCUCCUAAGGCUAAACACUGUCUCUAACCGAUAGUGAACUAGUACCGUGAGGGAAAGGUGAAAAGAACCCCGUGAGGGGAGUGAAAUAGAACCUGAAACUGCGCGCCUACAAACGGUCGGAGCCCGAUGUGAUGGACUUCGGUCCAUCACCGGGUGACGGCGUGCUUCUUGCAUAAUGAGCCGGCGAGUUGUCCUCAGUGGCAAGGUUAAGGACCUUUGGUCCGGAGCCGUAGGGAAACCGAGUCCGAAUAGGGCGAUAUAGUCGCUGGGGGCAGACCCGAAACCAGGUGAGCUACCCAUGGCCAGGGUGAAGCGAGGCUAACCCCUCGUGGAAGCCCGAACCAGUGUCAGUUGAAAAUGGCUUGGAUGAGCUGUGGGUCGGUGUGAAACGCUAAUC
rnacentral:rRNA from 1 species